rnacentral:lncRNA from 1 species
UUAUUUUACCGAGCUCUAUUUUUCUAAAUUAUGGACACCCUGCUUUAUGCUUUUUGUAGCUUGCCUUUGAAAGAUUAAACUUUAUGAGUUGUUGUUUGUUAGAAAGCGGAAAGUUUCUUGUGAUAAAAAAAUAAGUGCUUGGUGUAAUUUUUAGCAACUUGGCAAGGAGACCAGGGAUGGGGCAAUCUAAAUUUAUUGCUUUGUGUGUCCUGGCCAGUGCUAAUGUGCACCCAGUCUCUUGCUAACUUAUAUCAUGGGAUUAUUUGUGGGGCUGUUAUCAAG